rnacentral:misc_RNA from 1 species
GUAUUGAUUGCGGGUUAGCGCAUAUAUGAGGUCAUUCUACACUUUUAAAAGGGGGGGUUUGUGUGAAAACGCGAGCCCCCUCCGAGAUGAUCCCGAAGGGUGCCCACGCGGUGAUGCACAAAGGGGUAAGAUGGAUAUUUGUAUGUGAGAGGACUCGGGCGUGCACGACAAAAAAAAAGCCAGCGACAACCCUCGUACCCCCAUUGUACGAUAAUGAUCCUUCCGCAGGUUCACCUACGGAAA